AGCUGGUUCUCCCCGAAAGCUAUUUAGGUAGCGCCUCGUGAAUUCAUCUCCGGGGGUAGAGCACUGUUUCGGCAAGGGGGUCAUCCCGACUUACCAACCCGAUGCAAACUGCGAAUACCGGAGAAUGUUAUCACGGGAGACACACGGCGGGUGCUAACGUCCGUCGUGAAGAGGGAAACAACCCAGACCGCCAGCUAAGGUCCCAAAGUCAUGGUUAAGUGGGAAACGAUGUGGGAAGGCCCAGACAGCCAGGAUGUUGGCUUAGAAGCAGCCAUCAUUUAAAGAAAGCGUAAUAGCUCACUGGUCGAGUCGGCCUGCGCGGAAGAUGUAACGGGGCUAAACCAUGCACCGAAGCUGCGGCAGCGACGCUGAUGCGUUGUUGGGUAGGGGAGCGUUCUGUAAGCCUGUGAAGGUGUACUGUGAGGUAUGCUGGAGGUAUCAGAAGUGCGAAUGCUGACAUAAGUAACGAUAAAGCGGGUGAAAAGCCCGCUCGCCGGAAGACCAAGGGUUCCUGUCCAACGUUAAUCGGGGCAGGGUGAGUCGACCCCUAAGGCGAGGCCGAAAGGCGUAGUCGAUGGGAAACAGGUUAAUAUUCCUGUACUUGGUGUUACUGCGAAGGGGGGACGGAGAAGGCUAUGUUGGCCGGGCGACGGUUGUCCCGGUUUAAGCGUGUAGGCUGGUUUUCCAGGCAAAUCCGGAAAACUAAGGCUGAGGCGUGAUGACGAGGCACUACGGUGCUGAAGCAACAAAUGCCCUGCUUCCAGGAAAAGCCUCUAAGCAUCAGGUAACAUCAAAUCGUACCCCAAACCGACCCAGGUGGUCAGGUAGAGAAUACCAAGGCGCUUGAGAGAACUCGGGAGAAGGAACUAGGCAAUAUGUAUUCGUAAC
rnacentral:rRNA from 1 species